rnacentral:rRNA from 1 species
GACGAACGCUGGCGGCGUGCUUAACACAUGCAAGUCGAGCGAUGAAGCUUCUUCGGGAGUGGAUUAGCGGCGGACGGGUGAGUAACACGUGGGCAACCUGCCUUAUAGAGAGGAAUAGCCAUUCGAAAGGAUGAUGAAUACCUCAUAAUAUUGUAGCUUCGCAUGGAGCAACAAUCAAAGGAGCAAUCCACUAUAAGAUGGGCCCGCGGGGCAUUAGCUAGUUGGUGAGGUAACGGCCCACCAAGGCGAAGAUGCGUAGCCGACCUGAGAGGGUGAUCGGCCACAUUGGGACUGAGACACGGCCCAGACUCCUACGGGAGGCAGCAGUGGGGAAUAUUGCACAAUGGGGGAAACCCUGAUGCAGCAACGCCGCGUGAGUGAUGACGGCCUUCGGGUUGUAAAGCUCUGUCUUCAGGGACGAUAAUGACGGUACCUGAGGAGGAAGCCACGGCUAACUACGUGCCAGCCACCGCGGUAA